CCUACGGGAGGCUGCAGUAGGGAAUAUUGCUCAAUGGGGGAAACCCUGAAGCAGCAACGCCGCGUGGAGGAUGAAGGUUUUCGGAUUGUAAACUCCUUUUGUUAGAGAAGAUAAUGACGGUAUCUAACGAAUAACCACAGGUUAACACCGUGCCAGCAGCCGCGGUAAUAGUGAGGGUGCAAGCGUUACUUGGAAUCACUGGGCGUAAAUGCCGCGUAGGCGGGAUAGCAGGUAAGAUGUGAAAUCCUAUGGCUUAACCAUAGAACUGCAUUUGAAACUGUGAUUCUAGAGUAUGGGAGAGGUAGGUGGAAUGCUUGGUGUAGGGGUAAAAUCCGUAGAGAUCAAGAGGAAUACUCAUUGCGAAGGCGACCUGCUAGAACAUAACUGACGCUGAUGCGCGAAAGCGUGGGGAGCAAACAGGAUUAGAUACCCUUGUAGUC
rnacentral:rRNA from 1 species